GCGACAGCAGGGACUGGUGGAAUCCCGAUGUGGCUGAGGGGCCGCCACCGCCAGCAGGGAGGCGGAGGGCUAGCGAGCCAAGCGGUGGGGACGCCGCUGCCUUCCUCUUUGCCUGUCUCGCCGCCCUCCUAGACACGCUCCUCAUCUACGGAUCCUACCCUCCCCGCUCUUGCAAGCAUUCACUCGGCCGGUCGCCUGCUGACCCUCCUUCGCCACAGGCUCGUAGCGGAGGCAGCAGCGAGGCAUGAAGACCCCCAACGCACAGGAAGCCGAAGGGCAACAAACCAGGGCAGCUGCAGGACGGGCCACUGGGUCUGCAAACAUGACAAAGAAAAAAGUCUCCCAAAAGAAGCAGAGAGGCCGACCUUCAUCCCAGCCCCGCAGGAACAUCGUGGGCUGCAGAAUUUCUCAUGGAUGGAAGGAAGGAGAUGAGCCCAUCACGCAGUGGAAAGGAACCGUUCUGGAUCAGCUGCCUGAAACCACAGGUGGUUCCGACAAAUAAUCCACUAAAAGAGGCCUGCUGUCCCAAGAAUCCACAUUCUGGUUAGACCUUCCCCACAAAGCUGGUGUCUGCAGACCCCUCACAGGCACCUGUUGGCCAGUCUUGCCUACCCCAGCUCACAGAGACCUGUGAUGGAAUUCUGGUCAGCUCUUUGUUUCCAGGUGAGGCAGAUGCCAUGGGGC
rnacentral:lncRNA from 1 species